UAGAAUUCAAACUGGUCCUAGCUUCCCAAAAUCAUCAUCAUGACUCCUAUCAUAGCCUCUCAAGACUUGGGAGCACCACUCACUCAUUCACAACAAUCUCCACCUUGGUGCCCCAAGCCUUGACAAACCCCACACAAUUCACCUGCAAGAUCUUUUUACCUUCCUUAUCUGUUGGCAUUCUCCAGUAUCCUAUUGUCCUCCAAUACUUCAUGCUCAUGCAUCUGAUGCAUCCGCAUCCACUGCUGCCAAAGUGAACCUCCUAUGCACCAGGCCCUGUGCAUCAGCCCCCGCACCCUACGUGCCUUAUGCCACC
rnacentral:lncRNA from 1 species